GCGUAACUUCCAUGGCAGAUUGACAACCAUUUUUACCUUCAACAGAGCUAUUAACUUUACUUCAAAGUCUCACUCCGACUUCUCAAAGUUCAUUCAAUUGUUUAGUUGGUGAUAGUGGACAUGGCUGCUUCAGGCAGGAGUAUUUUGAUCGUAGUUGCAGGUGACGGUCAUUCUGGUGUAGGAACUCCAUUGAAAGAUUACACCACUUCUCUGAUCAUCUCUUUUGAUUUCUUCCGUUUGUAGUCCUCUUUGUCUAAAGCUAUGGUGAACUGGGUAAAUUUCCUUAGAACACAACAUUUCUAUGACAAGAUGUUAUUGAUACAAUGGCUCUGCAUGUCCUGGACAGAGGUUGUGCUUUUGAAAUAGCCGAAAUGAAUCCUCUCUUCGUUGAGCUACAUUUGAAGGCUCUAUUCUCUUCCUCAGGUAACUUACUGCAACUAUAUAGCCUGGAUGGAUGUUAUUGCAGUUAAUACUACUUAUUACAUAACUUCAUCAAUUUCUCUUACAAUGAAACUAAAUUAAUAUUUCAAGCAACGUUAGAAUAGGGGAAAGCCAAUAGUUUUAUUCAAUUGUAGAACACAUUGGUUCUCUUUCUAUGUUACGCAAAACAACUAACUGACUGAAAGUAUAUAUUGAAAACACUAGAGAGGAUAAGACAUUAUUUAAUUCUCAUAUUAGUUUCAUUUUCACUUGUAUUAAAUUGGAUGUGCAUGCAGCCCUACUUUUAUCCUGUGGAGGUGAGGUUGAGAGAUUGUUUUCGAUAGACCCAAGUGAAGAAUAUCAAAAUAAAUAUUAGAAGAAA